AUGCACAAAAAUAUUGCUCCUAUUAUUAUACUAUACUCAUUGGUCGAGAGGGCGGUUGAAGUGGCAGGCGAUGCCGAGAGGGCGGCUGCAACAGCACGGAGGGCGAAGUCCUACGCCGAGGUCACGGUUGCCUCUGCAGAGAGGACGGCUACAACUGCUGAGAUGGCUGAGUCAUCCGCCAAGACUGCUUGA
rnacentral:rRNA from 1 species